ACUUGGCAGCUCUGUCCCUAAGGCGACGCACCUGGGCUGCUCUGCUGGCAGCCCCUGGUUCCUGCUUCACCGUCGCGUGGAGGCCUGGGGCACUGCUUUCUGCUACACCUCUCCUAGGAGCGCGAAACAGAUGGAGUGACACUCGUCGAGGGCCUCUGCGGGACUGUCUGUUUGCAGAGGGUGCCAAGGUGUCCACUGCGUAAGGAAGGGCAAAGUCCUUUGGGGCAAAGAACCCUGAGAGGAACGGGGAGAUGGAUUUUGAAAGCAAACGAACCCUCUCCUAAAAGUGACUGUCACUGACCUGAAAACAACCAGAUUAGCUAUGGCAAAGGCUGCCAACCAACCAGUGGUCUGCAAGAAGGCUUGUUCUUCCACUUCACCCACCCUGACUGAGAUCUUGAGACUGAAGGAAACCCAAAGCCGUACCACCAAUGGGCCUAGUGUCAUCAACCGGGAGAGGAAAAAGAAAACUGGGCCCAGAGGAUUGCAGAGUUAUGAGGGACCAACCCCUUCCUGGCUGCAUGGAUCACAGCAUUACCUUUUAAAAGUGUUCCAGUAGCUGUGUUGGAAACCCUCUAACCACGGCAGCCCAUUCAGGAUUCAUGGAAAAAACUCUGACAAGCACAGAUUUCUGAAAACUUUAAGGUCAUACCACUGGACUCGAGAAAUAUUACUGAACACUUGUUCUGAAGGCUGAUCCUAGACAGCAAGACUCAGAGAAUUGAGAGAAGACAAAAACAUUCAUCUAAUCGGGGCGGCUGGGUGGGGUGAAGUGAACCCAGCCUGAU
rnacentral:lncRNA from 10 species